AUGCCGGACCUCUCCCCGUCCAAGGGGGUGCUCUCAUGCCUGUACAGCAGGUGCGACAGUGCCUCUCAGUCCAAAGGCACGCAUAAGCUUCUCUUCGACCUCAUCCUCGACUACUACGACAAGGCGGUCGAUCGGCUGCCCGUUAAGGAGAUGCCGCCGGACGUUGACCUCCUCCGCCUCGUAGAAGGCUCCGGCUUCUGUUUCGGCCUCCUCGAUCCCGUCUCCAACAUUAUCUUCAACACCAUCUCCGUCCUACCGCACGACAUCGGAGCAACCCCAAAGCCAUCUUCUCCAUGCCGAAAGAAGUCCAAGAGGACUCUCCCCAAAAUCACUCGAAAACCUAAGUGGGACGAGAUUGCAUCGAAAUCUUACAAAGGUCUCAUUGAUUUCAUGCUGAGCUACUUUGGAUGCCUCAGCAAGGACCAGGCCGCCCGCUACCUCUUCUGGUCCAGCGCCGAUGUUAGCCUUGCCGUCAUGCUUGUCGAGUAUGAAUUUGGCACAGAUAAUCCUUUGCUCCCCUACCCUGGCUCCGAAAGGACGCAGGCUGCCCUCAAAAUGGCGGCGCUCGGAGCACGUCACACUGCACCCGACAGCUUUGUGCGGUUCGUGACGUCCCAGUACCCCAGGAACAUUCUGCUCAACUCGGCCCGUGUUCUGGCGGAUAGUGGCCGGAAGCUCCACAUUGCCGAUGUCAAAGGCAUUGUCGAUCUGGUGCACUCUCUGGACACGCCCUGCUACGAUGCCAAAGUAGCCCUGCUGCCGAACGGAAGAACUGUCUGCUACGUUCAGAAGAUCACCUUUCAUGGAGAAGUCCUUGCAGCAGAAGCAGUCACCAGCAAGAUUUCUGACCUCGGAGAUGGCUACAGCAGCAGCAGCACCACCACCACACUCUGCCCAGCCGGAUACCACAUCACAUAUGUGCGCCAUAUUGGAUUGGAGAGGCUAUCUUAUUGUUUGUCAGAGGCCAAUGCAGAAAAGCACAGGUUAAAUGCCGCGUGCGGAAACUCCUGUGAAUACCUACAGUCCCUUAAGAUGCGCCUCCUCCAGUAUAUCCAAACCUUCUACCUCACUGUGUUCUCCCGGCUACCAGCGGGCUGCGAGCACUUGAUCCGCAGCAUCCUUGUUGCUGGCCACUGCUAUGGCCCCAUGGAUCCCGUCAGCAACGUAAUUAUCAGCUCCAUCUGGUAUGACAGGUGGUGUCCACUCCCGGAGGCUGACCGCAAGGGGAUCCAAGCAUAUGACAUAUUGAACACCUGCUACAUGCUUCGAACACAAGCUCGUUCCCUAAAAGGCCUUCUAUGCUUAGCCUGUGCAUUGGACCCCACAUUGACGGAGGAAUGUGCUGCGAAGGCCCUUCGUGACAACACUUGCGACUUAUUUGGGAAAUUGUCGGGAGUGUUUCCACUAGGAUCAGGUUCUUCCAAUAUUUUUCAUAUGGCGGCCAAGGCUGCUGGACACCCUCUGCCUGCUGGCCUAGGAUUGCUUUACCAACAGCUGGCACAAGUGCCUGCGAGAUUUGCUCAGCUCUCCUCUUUGAUAACUUCGAGCAGGGUGUUAUCCCCUGAUGUUUGCAAUCAAAUAGCUGCCUUUCUGGAAGGGGAAUUCAAAAUCACUCCACAUGUGCAGAAUGAGUUGCAGGCUCAGGCUCCUAAACUAUGCAAAGAGGCAUUGAAAACACUGUCAAGAAAGAGAUCAGGACAUGGGUGCAAGACUGAAUUCAUUCGUUUUAAGCUUGCACAACUACUGGAUAAGUAUGCCUCUGAGCAUCCUUGGGAACCAAAAUAUGUGCUGAACUUCAUUUGUGGUGUGGAGGAAAGGGGUCCUUUAUUCACAGUGUGCUACCGUGUUAAUUUUAUGGCCACUCCCGAAUCACAGGAUGAGAACACACUUUUCUUUGCUGAAUUCUGGGUUUCAUAUCCUCAGCCGCCAAAACCAAAUUUCUGCUGCCCUUUGCAACAGCCAUAUAGUGGACGUUGCUACUUUGGCGAGGCUUCUGCAAGGAAGAUUGUUUAUCCGUGUUCCACAGAGUACUUUAUGUCUGACAUUACUGCAUAUGGAACAAAGGACGCAGAAGACAUACUAGACACCGAUUUUGUCUAUUUUGACUCUCGGAGGGACCUGAAGUUUGCAACCGAUGUGAACAGCUACUAUGCACCAGGGUUCCCUGUGCUAUCGAGGCCGAUUGUCUUGGCCACUGACGAGGAGCUAAAGAUGUUGGGCCCAUAA
rnacentral:rRNA from 1 species